AUUGCUUCUCAAUCCAUUUGGGGCUAAGAUCAAGUGAAGUAUUUGUUCUUAUCAGUGUAAUAUCUGAUAAGUCCUCUACCGGAGGACAAUGUAUUAAACAGAUUUUUGGAGCAAGGAAGUAGAAUAAGAGCGUGCUCAGUGCAUUCCUCACGUCGACCCUGUAUUGCAGUACUUCCAGGACACACAUACACACA